GUGCUCGCUUCAGCAGCACAUAUACUAAAAUUGGAACGAUACAGAGAAGAUUAGCAUGGGAAUAAAUGAGAUGAAGGCUGCGAUUAGUUCAUUUAUUU
ensembl:snRNA U6 U6 spliceosomal RNA